ensembl:lncRNA
GAGAAACAAACUAAUUUACUAAAUAUAGUAUCAGAAUGCACGACAACACACUAUAAUACAAUAUAAUUCAAUAUAAUUGUUAAUAGAAUCAAAUAUAAUUGAGAGAAGGAUUGUCUGAGAGCUAAAGGCCUUACACUAAUACUGAAGCCUUGCGAGCAGUUGGGAGCAGCAGUGAGACGAUACGAAAGAGAGCACAAUGAGAUGAGAAGAAAGAGAAGACGACCCAGGUCAGAUGACCUACAGGCCUUAUAUCUGUUCCCCUGAGCAGGAAUGAUAACAGUAUUCGAACAGUGUUCUGGGGAACGUAGUUCUUCUCUUCCGGACAAGUAACCGGAACUAGAGCAUUUGCUCUUUAAUUCCCAGUACACUGCAUGAUGUUAUGAUGUGGAAUACCGAUAACCAAAAAUCAUAAAACCACGACAGUGAGUGAGUUUUGCUGAUCACUCCCUGAAUCUCUAGUUGACGAAUCAAUUUACGAAUGGGGAGCAAGGAAUCCCUGUUGGUGUGGUACUGCCAUCUGUGCACUGCUUUUGUAGCAAUCGGUACCUGUUGCUUUUUUACUUGUAGCAACCCCACAAGAGACGGAUCUUCUGACAGGCCAGGCAAAACAGACAACUGCUUGACACCUUCUGUGUCUACAGCAGCUAUUCCAAAGGCCCAUCGAUACCCUUUGGGAUCCUUGAAAUAUCCCCUUCUGAGCUAAUCAAUACCAACUAUACAGGGAGCCCCUGGGCCAGUCACAAUAGGAUGCUUUUGCCAGUCUUUACCAGUGAGGCUUAUUUCGGCCUCCAACAUAGUCAACUCUUGGGAACCCCCAGCCACCCCAUGAAUAUAAGUUGGUUUUGUCCCUUGGUGACCUGAGGGCAUUAGAGUGCACUGUGCACCAGUGUCCACCAGGGCCUUAUAUUUCUGUGGUUCCAGGCCACCUAAUCCACACAGUUCAAUACACUCUAUUAUCCCUUUCCCCCUCCUGGCUGGGGGCAGGGCCCCUCUAUUUGUUACCUCUGUUGUUCUUAUGGCUAUUGUGUCCCGCAGCAACUGGAGCACUCACCUUUUUGGAGAAGUUCACCUUGGUGGUUGAUCUGUCUUGUAAUUCUUUUACCCGUGCUUGAAGUGCAGGAGUAGGUUUUUUAUGCCACUUCUUCAUGUCUUCUCCAUGGUCACAUAGGUAACACCACAAGAC